rnacentral:rRNA from 1 species
GACGAACGCUGGCGGCGUGCUUAACACAUGCAAGUCGAACGGAAAGGCCUUUUCGGAGGUACUCGAGUGGCGCACGGGUGAGUAACACGUGGGUGAUCUGCCCUGCACUCUGGGAUAAGCCUGGGAAACUGGGUCUAAUACCGGAUAGGACCGCACUUUAGUGUGUGUGGUGGAAAGUUUUUUCGGUGUAGGAUGAGCCCGCGGCCUAUCAGCUUGUUGGUGGGGUAAUGGCCUACCAAGGCGGCGACGGGUAGCCGGACUGAGAGGUUGGUCGGCCACAUUGGGACUGAGAUACGGCCCAGACGCCUACGGGAGGCAGCAGUGGGGAAUAUUGCACAAUGGGCGCAAGCCGGAUGCAGCGACGCCGCGUGGGGGAUGACGGCCUUCGGGUUGUAAACUCCUUUCGCCAGGGACGAAGCGUUUUGUGACGGUACCUGGAGAAGAAGCACCGGCUAACUACGUG